GGGGCUGAUCGGAUUCGACUUCGCGCAUCAAAUCAAGGGAAGCGUGCCGGUGCAGGCAAGAGACCACCGUAAGCGUCGUUGCAACCAAUUAAGCGCCGAUUCCAAUCAGCGCGACUACGCACUCGCUGCCUAAGCGACUGCGUGUCUGUCAGACCGGGAGCGCCCUCGGCCCGGACCCUGGCAUCAGCUAGAGGGACCCACCCACGGGUUCGGUCGCGGGACCUGUGGGGACAUCAAACAGCGACUGGGAUCGUCAUCUCGGCUUGUUCGCGUGACUGAGAGAUACGAGUAG
rnacentral:tmRNA from 1 species